rnacentral:rRNA from 1 species
GAUGAACGCUGGCGGCGUGCCUAAUACAUGCAAGUCGAGCGAACGGACGAGAAGCUUGCUUCUCUGAUGUUAGCGGCGGACGGGUGAGUAACACGUGGAUAACCUACCUAUAAGACUGGGAUAACUUCGGGAAACCGGAGCUAAUACCGGAUAAUAUUUUGAACCGCAUGGUUCAAAAGUGAAAGACGGUCUUGCUGUCACUUAUAGAUGGAUCCGCGCUGCAUUAGCUAGUUGGUAAGGUAACGGCUUACCAAGGCAACGAUGCAUAGCCGACCUGAGAGGGUGAUCGGCCACACUGGAACUGAGACACGGUCCAGACUCCUACGGGAGGCAGCAGUAGGGAAUCUUCCGCAAUGGGCGAAAGCCUGACGGAGCAACGCCGCGUGAGUGAUGAAGGUCUUCGGAUCGUAAAACUCUGUUAUUAGGGAAGAACAUAUGUGUAAGUAACUGUGCACAUCUUGACGGUACCUAAUCAGAAAGCCACGGCUAACUACGUGCCAGCAGCCGCGGUAAUACGUAGGUGGCAAGCGUUAUCCGGAAUUAUUGGGCGUAAAGCGCGCGUAGGCGGUUUUUUAAGUCUGAUGUGAAAGCCCACGGCUCAACCGUGGAGGGUCAUUGGAAACUGGAAAACUUGAGUGCAGAAGAGGAAAGUGGAAUUCCAUGUGUAGCGGUGAAAUGCGCAGAGAUAUGGAGGAACACCAGUGGCGAAGGCGACUUUCUGGUCUGUAACUGACGCUGAUGUGCGAAAGCGUGGGGAUCAAACAGGAUUAGAUACCCUGGUAGUCCACGCCGUAAACGAUGAGUGCUAAGUGUUAGGGGGUUUCCGCCCCUUAGUGCUGCAGCUAACGCAUUAAGCACUCCGCCUGGGGAGUACGACCGCAAGGUUGAAACUCAAAGGAAUUGACGGGGACCCGCACAAGCGGUGGAGCAUGUGGUUUAAUUCGAAGCAACGCGAAGAACCUUACCAAAUCUUGACAUCCUUUGACAACUCUAGAGAUAGAGCCUUCCCCUUCGGGGGACAAAGUGACAGGUGGUGCAUGGUUGUCGUCAGCUCGUGUCGUGAGAUGUUGGGUUAAGUCCCGCAACGAGCGCAACCCUUAAGCUUAGUUGCCAUCAUUAAGUUGGGCACUCUAAGUUGACUGCCGGUGACAAACCGGAGGAAGGUGGGGAUGACGUCAAAUCAUCAUGCCCCUUAUGAUUUGGGCUACACACGUGCUACAAUGGACAAUACAAAGGGCAGCGAAACCGCGAGGUCAAGCAAAUCCCAUAAAGUUGUUCUCAGUUCGGAUUUUAGUCUGCAACUCGACUACAUGAAGCUGGAAUCGCUAGUAAUCGUAGAUCAGCAUGCUACGGUGAAUACGUUCCCGGGUCU